rnacentral:lncRNA from 1 species
GGGCCAGUGAAUUCCACGGUGUUUCUAAGGUGAAGAUGCACGUUUUCCAUGGAAGGAGAAGGGAAACAGGCAGGCCAGCCUGCAGCUCCUUUGCUCCAGUGUGGUAUCUGAGAACCACCGACCCAGGGAAAGUGUGCUGUCGGCGGUGUGCUCUGAGCACUGAAAGGGAAACUCUCAGGUUGAUUGCUAAGGAGGAAGAGAUAACACAGUUACGUCCACAGCUCACGAAAAGGACCUUAAAGUUUUCCACAUGCACACUGUGGCCAGAGAGCAACUGUCUAUCCAUUGAAGGAGGCGUACGCGUGAAACUGAUGAAUGUCUUUCAGACUAUAAAGUCGGAGAGACAGUUCCUGCUUCCUGGCACGGAUUAUACUAGGUGUCCACACUGCUGUAACAAUGAUAAAAAACAAAAUGAUAUGUGCAUCCUUCAGCACGUAAUAGAAGGCUGGCUGGCUGACACCUAAUUCUAGGACUGUUCGAGAGAGCUGAAGAAAACAACACGGGUAUGAAUGCUGCUGCACUUCCUUCCAGAGGGGAACUGGGAGGCUUUUCCCCCACCGUAUUUUCUCCCUUGAUCAGGAAAAAACUGCUGACUGAGACUUGUGCGAAACCUCAGACUUGCAAGGAGCCAACAGCCAUGUUUUCUCCUCCCCUACCUCUGCCUGCUCACGAUGAGGAAUCACCUUGGCACAGUGACCUAGGCUGGAGAAUGUGCUAUGAAUUUGCUACCUGCCACCCUUGAUCUGGACAGAAUUAUUCUUUGUUGCACAGCAACAUGUGCUUGUUUCCCUUGGGUAUAAUAUUUUAUCGGAUUUUAGCAAAAUCCACUGUGAGAAUGGAAACCCUACCAAGACAGGCCGUGAACUGUUUUAAAAUUUUAUCUUUUUUUUUACCCCUUUUGCACUGCCGGGACUCAAACCCAGGGCCUUAAGUGUGCUCAGCAAGCGCUCUCCCCCGAGCCAUACCCAAGCUUCCUGUCUCUGAUUUUUAUUUUCAAACAGACCUGCCUUCAAAUUCCAGCCCUACCAGGUCGAAAUAGCAAGUCCUAAACUGUAAAAUACACUCUUCUUAGGGAUGAAAUCGGAUAAUAUAGAUAUUUUAGAGCAAGUGUAUAAUAAGAGGUAGCUGGGGUUAUAAUAAUCAGGGUAACACUCUUCAGCUAUUCCCUUUUUCCUUCCUAGAGCCAUUGUCUCUGCAAACUUAAUUCUGCGUGCCUCUAAACAGCAAAGAUAUAUUUUAAAAAGCCUUUCCAUUCAUCAGCCUCAGUUGUCAAAGUGAGAUCACAAUUUCAAAGUUACUGAAAAAAUACAUAUCCUUUCAAAGUAAGCCUUUUAAUUCAAAAAGAAUCUUUUUU